rnacentral:lncRNA from 1 species
AAAUCACGUAGAAAAUGAGCAUUCUCGGCAAAGGAAACAGCAGAUGCGAAGGCCUUGAGUUAGGAAUAUAUCCAGUGUUUUCAAAGGUUGGCCAGGAGGCCAGUAUUAUAGUAGGAGUGUUAUAGUAGAAGGAAGAACAUUAGGAGGCAUAGUCAAAGAGAUGAGAGCCAACAUUUAAAGGUAUUCUUACUUUUAUUAUGACAUAGGAAUCUCACGGAAGGCUUUGAGCAGAAGAGUGAAAAAACAUGGCUGAUAUUCUGAAAUGAUCGCUCUUGUAAUGAUGUUGAUUUUGAGAAUAGACUCAAAAUGAGAAGAAUGGAAGCAAGAUGCCCAGUUUGGAGGCUACUAUGCUACUCACAUGAGAAAUGAUAGUGGUUGUGAAUAAGAAUACGCUGAUGAACAGAUAUUCUUAAUUUCAACACAGUCAAAAUCAUCACUAGUUUACUUCAGACAUUUACAUUUUGAUCUAACCUACCACCACCAUGACUGCCAUUGCUCAUUGACUCACCAAAAAUUGGAUGAGAAAAUGAAGGCAUAUGGAAAGUCAGCAAUUUCCUUGGAUGACCUUUGCUACUAAGUGUUGAUCCUGGGGUAUGGGCCCACUUGAUCUGACUGCGGCAUCUGGUAUUUUGUAUCCACAAAAUUCUAUUGCCUACCACAAUUAUUUUGUCUGAAUUUAAUACUGUAUUUAUCAGAAAAUUAUUCCAGAGUGAUCCAUCACAUUCACAGGUAAAUUUUAAGUUACCUUGUAUUUAUUAAAAAGAUGAUUAAAAAAUGAAGAUCUGUUGUAUGCCAGAGGAUUCAGUGAAUUUUCUUCUGAAGGUAGGUGUUCAAAAUGAUCAUCACUUAAAUCAAGGUCACUUAAGUUCUAAGGAUAAAAUAGGCAAAUGAGAAACAAAAUGCCUGUGUUGAUGAUGAGAAUGGCAUUCUGACUCCUGCCUUGCUGAUUUCAGUUCUGGAAGAAUGUUUUGAAUAUAUUCUUUCAAUGCUCACCAGGAUUUGCUACCAGUUCUUUUUUACAUGAAGACGUGCUAAGUUUUUCAUAUAACCUUCCUUGCUUUACUCAGAUCCCUUUAUAUGUUCUAUAGGCAGUGGGUAAGCAGGAUAAAAACUCCCACCCUGACUUUUCCAGAAAUUGGUAAGUGAUGAAGACUGUGGAUGAAGAAAUUCU